GGUCCUCCUUCCCCUCUACUCUGCCCUGGUGAGACCACACCUGGAAUAUUGUGUCCAGUUCUGGGCCCCUCAGUUCCAGAAGGACAGGGAACUGCUGGAGAGAGUCCAGCGCAGGGCAACAAAGGUGAUCAAGGGAGUGGAGCAUCUCCCUUAUGAGGAAAGGCUGAGGGAGCUGGGUCUCUUUAGCUUGGAGAAGAGGAGACUGAGGGGCGACCUCAUUCAUGUUUAUAAAUAUAUAAAGGGUAAGUGUCGCAAGGAUGGAGCCAGGCUCUUCUCGGUGACAACCAAUGGUAAGACAAGGGGUAAUGGGUUCAAACUGGAACACAAGAGGUUCCACUUACAUUUGAGAAGAAACUUAUUCUCAGUGAGGGGGACAGACACUGGAACAGGCUGCCCAGGGGAGCUGUGGAGUCUCCUACUCUGGACACAUUCAAAACCUGCCUGAACACCUUCCUGUGUAACCUCAUCUGGGUGUUCUUGCUCUGACAGGGGGAUUGGACUAGACGAUCUUUUGAGGUCCCUUCCAAUCCCUAACAUUCUGUGAUUCUGUGAUUUGUGAUAUCAGGCUUCAUCUACCAGAAGAGGGUAAAAGGAUAUCACAGAAGCCUGAGCUAUCUCAUUUAACUGAGUAGUUCAACGACAGUGACAAGAUUCUGACAGUAACAUGAAGUUCCCUGGAGAUGACUGAAAGACAGGUUAAAAUGCCUUUUAUUUUAAAAUUCCCCUACAAAAGGCUCUUACUAGGUUUUUAGAGACAAGCUCAAGACUUUGUUCCUGAUUCCUUUUCUUCCUAGGCAAUUUACAAUGUUUUUAAUUUGGAUUCAUUCAGUAGGAAAAGUAAUCAUUCAGAAAAUAGUUCAAUACAGGGAGUUGAAUGUUCAUAUGACAGAAUUUGUAAUUUCCUCCUUAUCCAUACAAAAUCUGAGCAGGGAAAAAUUUGUCUUGUUCCUCUUUCUAGAAGGAGCAACAUUGGGACAAAUAUUUUUGUCUUUAAGAAAUGGAUACAGCAAAAGAGAAAUACCUCUGCUGGGACAGGGACUAGAGAAACACUGUUUUCUGAAACAGUACUAUUAGUAUUCACAGAUACUUGUCACAACGGUGAUAGGCAACAAAGGUAUGAUAAAUAUAAUAUGAAAGAACAGUGCCGUAAAGGUAAACUUGCAGCCCAUCUAUCAUAUAAUCAUGUUCCAAGUGCCAGGAAAUACUCUUGCCUUCAGUCAGUCAAUCUCCUUUUUUUAAAAAAAAUACUUUUGUAGUUGCGUCCAUGUGUUGUCAGACAGAGGUAAUUUGGGGCCACCAGUGACUUGAAGACCACAUUUGAGGAGAAAGUCCAGAUACACAAUGGACUGGCUUUUUCCAAAGUGGCAGAAACCAGUUCCCUUUGUGCAGCUCUUCAAGUUUAACAAUUACACUGACCUGUGGUUUUGAGUGGGAUAUAAGUGCUGCCUGAGCCUUGAACUGAUAUGCUAGAGAGUUUUUUUCCUUUUUUUUUUAAUUAUUUUUUUAAAAAUUAUUUUUCCCCACAAAAGGAAGCAAAAGAAACAGUAUAUUAUAAUUAUUUUAAAUGGCCAGAGGAUACCACGUCUUUGAAAAACAGAAAGGCCACAAUGAAGAUGCCUUCAGCUGACAUCCUUUACAACUAUUGUAAUGUAUCUUUCUUAGUAAAUUUAAUAGUUUAGUCAGAGAAAACUUCAAAGAAGAAUCAGAAUAAAAUAUUAACUGUUUGCAAAUGCCGUGGCAGAGAUACUUGCUAGGAAAUGUGUUUCUGUAAUUGGCUAUGAAAUCAGUGGCUGAACUAUUUCCAGAAAUAAGAAGAGUGGACUGUUUCCCUGAACUGUGCUCUGAACAAAUCUAACCACAGAGUUCUCAGUGUGUAUUAAAGACCAAAAAGAACAGUAAGGUGAACAAAUGAUUCACCUAAAUAUCAUUAUCUCAAAGAGCUUUUAAAUAUCUGGAGUUUCUUUGAGGUGAAAGAUGAACAACAAAGCAAACGUCAAAAAAUAAUGAACAGAACUUAACUUCAAAGUGACAUAGAAAAACAAUGACUAUCGUAGACCAAAGCGGGAAUAUUAAUAACAUGCUAGGAGGAAAUCUAUUCUUAGCCUUCAUUUGAAAAUGGGGCAGAAAAAGGUUCCAGUUCUAACCAGCAUUGAAAAUAAGAUGAGAAAUGUGAAAUCUAUGGAAAGAAGCUAUAAACCCAAGUGCUGGCUUUAAAUUUAGUAAUGGGCUGAAGAACUCAAAACAGUGAAGGGCAGUGUGCUUUGUAGCUGCUCAUUUUCACUAAGUUGUAUAGGUGAAAGUCUUUGAUUUCUCCAAACUUAACUUUCAAAGACCUCAGAGCCCCAUGUUUAAUUUAGCAGACUUAUAGCUUUUGAAUAAUGUCUCAUGUAAAGUAUCUCCAUGGAGCUUGUCAGGACAUGCAGAAAAAUGUUAAAAACUCAGCAUUAUUCUUUAUAAAUCAAUAGUUAUACUCACCAACUAAUUACUUUGCUCAAGAUAAUGCUUCCUUAACAUGGAGGAGAUGAGAGUCACAAAGAUAUUUUUUGUUGAUCUGUAUUUAAUCUAAUGAGUCAAUUUGCGCCCUGGGGCUCUUCAUAAAAAAUGCAUAUAAAUAAAUGAGGGGCUGAUCUAAAGACUACUGAAAGUAAUAGAAAGACUCUUGUUUUGUUUGACUGCAUUUGGAUCUGUUUCUAAACCUCUUUAAGAAGUGAGCUUUUUAUUCUUGCAUAGUAAUUUAAAGAAAAUGUCUAUCUGUUUCUUAUGUAACCAACAUUAUUGUGGAUGUCUGUGUCUUUGAUACAUGUAUACAUGAAGCUAUUUUCAAUCUGUUGAUUGUGUUUCAGACAUUGUGAGAGAUGGAUCAGAUGCCGAGCUGUUGAAAAAUGCAAGUUUGCUGACAGCAGUCUGAUAUUUUUGUUGGGUCAAGUUGGUAGUAAUGUGGAAAUAUUUAGUGUGUAAAACAAAAUUUUGGUGAGCAUUGUUUUGACUUGUAAUUUUGGUUCCAGUUAUAUGCAGCUUACACGGCAGUACGAGAAGGGUAACGGAUAAGUGUUUUAAUUUGCCUUAACCGUUUUCCUUGCACUUCCUUUUUACCAUAAACUUCUUGCAGUAAUUCAAUGAAUGAAAUCACAAGAGAAUAGACUUCAUUGUUACAUCUAAUAUGCUGUAUUUGAGCCCAGUUUAUUUUAAACCACCUGGAAGAAGUUCUAUGGAUGGUUGCAUAACAAUAUUAAUUGUAAAGUCAAGCAAUUCUAGUAAAAAAACAGGACCAAUAUGAAUGCUGGUGUAACUCCUUUAAGCUAACCAGAAUUGCUUGAAGGAUGAAUUUUGUUUCUAUUUUUGAAUAGAUCCAAGGGAAGAUUCAUAUUCUUAAAAUACACUUACCCAAUGCACAUAUGAAUUAAAUAAAUCUACUUUUUUUUUUUUUUUCUAAUAUUUCCCCCAUCCUCAGUGGGCUAAAUUGGACACUAUUUUAAUUCUUUAGGAUGCUUAAUGUAAUUACACCUGAAAUAUUGUUGUUAUUUAUUUAUUUAUAUGUCAAGGUAAAAUAUUUAAAGAAUAACAGAAGCUUAUAAAAAAUAUAUGUUUUUAAUAAAAGUUAGUAAUUGUUAUUUGUAAAUACACAGAAUAUUGAUAUUGCAAGUCUUCUAUUUAUCAUUUGUUCCAAUGUCCAUCCAUCCAGGAAAGAUUGUUUGUACAGUUACCUCAAGCACGGAACAUCAGAGGUGUGUGCUCAUGAAUUAAUACUUUUGGCUUUGGGAGGUAUGAUGCAACUAUCCCUUUUAUUGUCCAUUAAUCCCAGAAGGAGCUAGCAAACUUUCCUGAAGUGAUAAUGGAAAGAUGUCUGGCAUGACUGCGUUUCAAAUUAGGUGAUGCCUAACAAUGAGGAAAUCUCUCAAGCACUGGAAUUCCAAACAGUCCCAGAGCAUAUGGGAAGAGUUUCUCCUAAUGAGGCAACGUUUCCAGCGCUUGUCUGUGUGCAGGAAGUCCAUCUAGUUCACGUGCCAGCAUCCACAGGCUCCAAAUACAGCUAUAUAUUAUAGCAUCUGGUUUUAAGAACAAGUAAUGAUUGUUUUUUAAAUAUUGUCCCAGACUGAUUAUGUCAUAUGCAUAUAUACUUCUGUGCUGCUAGCCUGACUAAAAGCAUCUGGAGCAGCUACCAGUGCUAAAUUGUUUGUCAAAUAUCCACAUACCUGCCAGUGUGACAUGGCUAGCUACGCGUUUGUUAAAUGCCAAGGCAGGUACUACCAUGACACCUCUUGAUUUUUGAAGCUACUCUGGUCUUCACAGGCAACAUAGCCAGUUGAUAUCGGAAUUUGGUGCUGUCUAUGUGAAAUUUCCCUAAAUCAUGUGUAGAUGAGGUUCUUAGGGACAUGGUUUAGUGCCAGUGUUAAUGGUUGGACUUAAUGAUCUUGAGGGUCUCUUACAGCCAAAAUGAUUCUAUGAUUCUAUUAAAUAUUUUCAAGAAGCUUGAUGUGGUUUUAGCUGUAGGGAGCUUUUCUCUCUGAAUUAUGGGUAAGUGAAAUGCUCUAAAAAUGUCUUCAGCAAACUGAUAAAUAGGCAAACAAUAUUGAAGACUUAUCUUUAUAUAUGCUCAGGAAAUCGGCCAUCAAGCUGAAUUCCCACUGCCUCUGCCUUUUGAAGAUUCUUGUGAGAAAGCUAAAGGGUGUAGAAAUCACCCCUAAACUCAUACAAGUAAUGUAAAUUCAAUUUGCUACAUAUUACUGUCCAAUAGGUUUAUUUGUUAUGUUCCAUCAUCUUUAAUCAAAGCAACUAGUUGACUUUAAAUAUAAUCAGUUGUGAUUCCUGGACAGAUUUUUAGAGCCCAUAGAACACUAUAUAACUGACUGAGAGGCAAUGUCAUUUGUGUCUUAGAAAAUCCUUAUCUCCUUCAUGCUUCUUUUGUAGUCAGGAGAAGGAAGCAUAGAUUCGGCUUUUUUGACAACUGAAAGGAUAAAAGGCCGUAUAUGCAUAUAAAAAAAAUAGGAAUUCUAGCUCCUUUACAGUAAUUGGCAGGCCAAGCACAGUUCAAUAGCUUCUACAGGUGAUAUUUUCUUUUAGAAAACAGAGUGGGAUGUAGGAAUUGGUGAGUAGAAUUUAGACAGAAAUCCUGUUCAGUGAUGAAGGAAGGCACACCGUAAUUUUGUAAAGUGCAGGUAGUUUCACCUGCUUUUGUGAGCAUGAAACAAUGUCUUCUCUUAUUUUUGCAAAGAAUGUGCAAAUCCUCCUAAAAGAAAAGAACAUCUUGAAUAACAGUAUUUUUAUUAGGCAACUUUUAUCACAGCCAUGCACUGCGCCCUUUACUUGGCCUAUAUUAGAGCAGUUUUAUGCCUGCUCUGACUUGUGCAAGUUGUUAAAUACUCCUUGGAGAUAAGAGUCAUUGGGAUUUUCUGGACUGGAGGAAAUCUUGGCCCUUUUUACUUUUCCUUUGAUUGUAUACUGCUCCUCCCUGUAACACUGACGAGCCUCUUGUGCCUGGUUAUGUUGAUUAUAAAACCUUUUAUGUCAGCUAUACAAAGUUGUCAUAGUGCAACCCCAAAUUGGGGCUAUUUCACUGACAUAGUCUGUGAUAACUGACAUAACACCUGUUUGUUCUCACUAGAGUCAACAGUUGCAUAAGGUUUCAAUUACUUCAGAAUUUGGCCCCAAGUUUCUGGGAAAAUGGUGAAUAUUUGCGUAUAAACUGCUGUACAUUUGUUCAUGGGCCACGUACCUGAAGUAUGCUGAAAUAUGUUUUUCUUGAAAAUCACACUGGAAAGUUUCAAUGGCUCCCUUUUUGACCACUGCAUGCUGGAGUGACCUGUGAGUGAGAGACAGUGGAAGAGGCCAGCACAGAGAACUCCGACGAGGUUUGCUGGAGAAUGGCUGGUGCAUCCGCUUUGGCUGCGCACUGCCCGAGGGACCAUGAUGAAAAGUUGUUGGGGAAGCUUGUUACUGUUCUAAAGUUGCCAGUUCUGUGGGUUUCCUGUGGAACUGGCCUAGUUUUUAGCAACAGCUGUGGUCAAUUUUCUGAGCCAGGGAUAACCAUUCUGUGUUUGUUUUUUUUAAUUUUUUUUUAAUGCUAGCACAGAUUUUUGGCUGUCUGGUUGGUGCAGUGGUUUCCAUUGCAAAUUUUGAUUAUGUCUUUGAUUGCUGAUUAGAGGUUGUGAGCUAGGACUGUUCACCAGUGAGCCAGGGCUUGACUGCUCUGUCAUGGGCACUGGAAGCUCUUCAAGGACAGAGUUUCCAAGUGCCAGUGAUGAGCAGAGAUGACUGUCUGAAGUACUGAGGGAUUUUAUGAAGUCCUCUCAUCAGUUAGUACAGCCCCACUGAAAUAAAGUGUGACUUUAAUUCUUAGCUUGCUUGCAAGUGUUACUAGUAAAAGGUGGGUAACUUUAGAACCCCACAUUCUAAAGGCAUAAAAGCAUUUACCACUCCAGGUAAGAGGCCUCACCACUAACAGAAGACAGAUAACAAAUAUUUAGAUAGUUUUGACAGUCUUGUUGUGAAUUGUUAGUCAUCUGGACAUGACUACAAGAAUUACUAUGAUAUGACAAUGUGUGUAUGGUGAAUUUUUUUGUCAUUCUAGUAUUUUUUUAUUUUCUCAGAUAAACUUCGGAGCUGGUCUCUGUUGGUUUCAGAGAAGCAGUCACCAACUGAACCUAAGAACCUAAUAAUCUCAUUUACUGGUAAGAAGUAAUGUGAAGACCACCAUAUGGUGGGUAAGAAAUCAGUGAAUGGUGGCUUUUUUUGUGAGGACGGUGGGAAAAAAAUUACAGGUGAAUUCAGGAGGGUUUGGAUAUUGAUGCAAAUUCGAAGAAGGUAAAGAGGAAGGCUAGACUUUUUCUUUGUUGAACUGGCAGAUACAAUGGACUCUUUCUACAACAGAGAGAAAACAAUAUAGCAAGACAGGAGAAAGAAAGUGGGUGCUGUUCUCUUCUUUGGGGUUGCCAUUAGAAGGACAGUAGUGUUUCCAAGGGUAGGCUUAAUAAGAAGACAAGAGAAGGUGGAAUGACAUUCGGCAUUUCCUAAAUGUGUAUUGAGUAGCAGCAAAACCAGUAACUACAGCUAUAAUACCCAUCUCCAAAUUUGCCCUGUACAGAUAAUUAAAUUUGGGGACAGAGAUAUCUGAACACAAUCGGAGCACUGUGUCUUAUAGAAUUAGACUGACUUUCCCUUCUUUUUUCAGGUUCAAAUAAAUUAAAAUAGGGAAGAGUAAUCAAGGUGUACACACAUUCUGAGGAAUAUAAGAAUCUUUCUGCGUGCUUUCAUCUCAGCCUUAAAAAAGAACACCUUGUUUUCAGUGGCAUUCCUAUUGCUUUGUAUUGGAUUUCCCUAACUAUUGAGGCGAUUGUGUUCUACCAAGAGCUGCUCAUAGAAAAUCUGUUUGAAAUAUGGUAUAAGUAAGUUCUUGCAGGUAAAGAAUACUAAAAGUCCAUUGGUACUGGAAUAGUCUAUAUGGUGCAACUGGAUCAGUGAUCAUAGCAAUGACAGAAAACUACAAAGCAAGAGAUGCUGGAGUGUUCUAUAAGAGGUGACACAUUGGCUGCUUGUACUAGGAGAAGGAAUUGCUGGAGUCCCUUGGUUCAAGUUAGAGCUCUUGCUACAUGAUUUAAUGAAGUAAAAAUAAGUCUGUCUAAAAUGUGAUAGAAAUAAUUUGGUGCAAAAUUGCUUUCCAAAGUACAAUGGAAAUAAAUGUAAAUUAAAUUAGGAAGAAAAGGAAAAGAAAAUGUUUCCCCAGUAGAGAUAAAGUGCACAAUUCUGGGGGUUAUUUUCACAUAUUUUUGGCUUUAAAUUCCAUUUCCUUUGGCAGCUUUAUCUGGUCCCUUCUGUAAAGUCUGCUAAGAAGUUGUUCCUGUGCAGCAUGUAUGUUUGAAUUCUAGUAAGGCAUCUUGAGGUAGUUUGGCUGCCUUGUGACAAUAUUUCAGACUGGUCUCUGAUGAAUUCCAGAGUGUUACAUAAAUAUCUGGAUCACAAAUAAAGGUGUGAAGACACUCAGGAGAGCUGUGAGAAUGAAUCAGUGACCAUUUUGAGACAAUUCCAUGCAUGACUUCUCUGACUUAACACCUAUAAGAAGUAAAAGUUCUCCUUUUCACUUUGUUUCCAGUUUAACUUUCUUUGUACAUCCAAAGAAAUAACGGGAAAUACUUUGAUCUUUCUGACAUAAGCCAGUCUCUUGGUUCUUUAGGAUGUGACGUGGGAAAUAACUAUGCAAAUACAUAGUCUAGUUGUUUUAUAGUGUAUCAUAGUGCCUGUAGUCUCACUAUUAGAAAAAAAAGACAACAUUUUACUUACAGCAGAGAAGCUUCUCUCUCUCCCUGAGUUUUUCUGGAUGUGAGAUUCUUAUUGAGAACACUGAUUAUGAAGCAAAGCUUUCUAGAAAGGAUUGAGCAACACAUUGAAUUUGAUCUUUAGCCUGAAAGGUCAGACGGAGCCUCACUGGCAAGAAGCUCUCCAGCUGAGGACCUGCUGUUGAUUCCCCAUUUCUUGUACUGCACAGCCCAAACCUGGGCUGGGCUGGUUAUGGGCCAAUGAAAGUGUGUGCAUGGGGAGAGAUGUUUGUCAUGCAGAGAUAUGAGCAAUGCUGUCAUUGCCAGCUCUCUACUAGUCUGGGGUUUUAUUUGUCCCUUUUUUCCCCCCGAAGUAAUUCUUGUUUGCAAGGAAAUAUCUUCCUGAUACAGCUGUAGUGAUACUAGGAUGAGGUGGUAUCAACCAUCAGUUGGAUGACUUUCAUGGAACAGGAAGUUGAUGUGUUUCAAAGUGCCAUAAAAAUAGGAACUGGCAGCUGGUUUGGUGUGCUUUUCCUGCACUGAAUAACUCAUCUGUACCUUCACCAAGCUUGUCACUGCACCUCCUUCAGUUGCUGUGGGAGUCUCACAUGUAAUCUUGCAGUGUGAUGAGUUACAUGAGGCACAGAUUUGCUGGGUCCUUAUCAUAUAGAACUAGCGUAGAUUAGAAAACAGACCCCAGCACAGAGGCAUCUGCAUUUCAAAUUGAAACUCAGCCAUUCUUUGUGCACCCACUUCAUCUCCGUAUGCUUCAGUUACUGUACAGGCCUGUUGACAGCUUUAAAACAGCUUUAGAGGAGGAAAAUGACUGAUGGGCACACCAAAGCGAUGCAAAGCUCUGUGAUCUUCACUGCAAAUUGCGUUGCCUGUGAGCCUCUUAAGAAUAUGAAAGUGAUAAGAAAUCAGACAUUUAGGUAAGACUGGCAAGGACUGAAUGCUACUGUGAAAGGAUUAACUCUCACCAAUUGGUAGUUUGUUGCAUGUCCUGCUUAAAUCCUGCCCUGUUUGGGCAGAGAGGAUUUGUUCAGUAGUGAGGCAGAUCCUUUCUGUGUAUAUAAGCAUACUCUCUAUAGAUGGAGUCACAGUUUUGCAAGCCAACUUCUUGCUUCCCAACCCCUGAAUCAUACUGACUGAGCCACUGCAUUUUUCCUUCUGCUCUCCAAAUUAUUUACCCAGGAGAGGAGAGUAUGGGCCCAGUACGCUGAUGAGCAGGAACAAGGCAGAUGGAAAGAUGUAAUUUGAUGGGAGGCUGCCCAGUUUCUUUCACAUACCACCAAAUCACCAAAAGCUUCUUUCCUUCUGCCAAGCACUUCCCUCUCACCCAUGCUUUCUUUCAUACAUGUGUAUUUUGUUUCAGUCUGUUGGCAUUGUUAGCAAAGACUCAUUCAGUCGCUGCAUAUUGGUCUGAAUCCACAUUAAAUGUAUAAAAGGUAUGUUCAGUUAAAGUUAAGCAGCACUGUGCCUAGUGAAAAUGAAUAGAGUGAAUCAUCCUCUGAAAGAUUUGAAGACAGAGUACGGGAAUCCUUUUACAAUAUUAUUUUAACAUAUGUAUAAAAGGAAGGAAAAAUAACACCACACUGGAGCUCGAUGCAAGGAAUUUCUGUUAAAUUGAUAAUGUGUUUACAUUUAUAUCUCUUGCCAAAGUGGCUGAAUUUCCUUAUGGCUUUAAGAUGCUUUAAAGAAUGUAAUGGUUAAUUAGAUAGUAUAGUGUGGUGAAGGAGGAGGUGAGUUUUUUCGAACUGGGAUCACAUUCUUCAAUAAACAUUACUCCUGAGUCUGCUACAUGGACAGCCUGGUUUCCUCAUUAGGAAAAAAAAAACCCACUCAAAAAGUAGUAUCUUCAUAUCUAUCUGUAUCUGUAUAUACACAUAUAUACCACAUAUAUAUAUGCAUACAUCUUGUUCCAGUUAUUUAUAAUAAUCGUAUUAAUGUUUAUUAACCUUAUUUGCUGUUCAUAGUUCCUUACAGGUUUCUAUCAGGUAAACAAAGAAGGAAGCAUAAGAUGAUUUUAUGGGAAUGGAAAAUGGUUCAGAGCUCAAGAGAUCUAAUGUCACCGCAAGUAUGACUUGAACAAGGAGUUAUUAUUUUAAAAUCGUAUUAAAGCAGGUGAAAGUUGUCUGGCUUCAAAGAUGCUUGUCACUUUCUCAUUGGCAUUAGGUUCAGUUCCAAGGUUCUCUGAACUGUUUGUUUAGGAAGUCGUUGUUUCAGUUUUUAAGAAGUUAUUGUUUCAAUUUUCACUUCCUUGCUGUAAUUUUUUUGAAUAUAUGUUCCUGCUGAGACUAUGGCAUCGCUGUCUUCAGCCUGUAAAUAAGCGCAAAACUUCCAUGAAUUCAUUAUGUUUCUGGAUGCUGCAGAGGCCUCUUUAUGUGUGCUGUGAAAUCAAUUCCAGAAUAGUUUUUAUUUUUGUAUGUGAAUGCAAAGGUACUGGAUGCUGGUGGGUAUUGCCUGAGUCUCCUCAAAAGAGUUCAAAGGGCCCAUAAGAUGCCAUUUACGCUACUUAAACAUCCUGUCAAACUCUGGGGAAAAUCUCAGAAAUCACUUUUCAUUAAUAAAGUACAACUCAUUAGAAUUAUUGUGAUACAGAUCAUACUUGUAAAAGAAUUUUAAAAUUUCUGCCAUAGAAGCUGUUGCUUCUUUGUCAAGUCCAAAGCCUAUAAAGAGAAUUUAGGAAGCAGAUUUAUAGGACAACUACUGUGAAAUUCCAUCAUUUUUAUUUAUUUGGCUGAAGAACAUCCCCUUUCUUGUAAUUGCUGCUUAAUCUUAGCUGCAGACUUAGCGGUUUAGGAAAAUAUCCUUUACUUUUCCAUCAGCUGUCAAACUAUGCUAUUAAGCAAGAGAUAUUCUUCCUGUAAUUCAGGCUUGCCAGCUUCUCAUAUAUUAAUGACCAACUUACACAACCAAGACUGUUGAUCUGUUAUGUUUUUUCCCUUAGUUUUCUUGCUUUUUCUUGGUAUCUUAUACUAUGUUUGCUAGUGUAAAACUGGGGAAGGUACCCUGGAUUGCUUGUUGAGCGAUUAUUUUAUUUUGCAUUGCUGUCCACUGUCAGCAUCAAAAGCUGCCAAUUUCUGUUUGCUUUUUUAAAGGGUUCAGACAGGACAUGUCCAGGGGAUCUAGCUGCAGUGCUUUAAAACAGGGCCACCUCCAGCUGUCGGCUGCAUUUCUCUGCUGAAGGGCGCCCACCUGUGUGGAGCAAGAAGAGCCAGCUGCUCCAACUCCAAGCCAGAUCUGAGCUCAGGAUGUCUGCCAGGAGGACUGCCCCCUUGGGACCUUGCCUGUGGGUGGGCUAACUAGUCUUCUGUAUCUGGUUUUCAUUGAAAGAUUUUUGACUGUUCUUGGUCUGUGUGUCAAACACCCUGUGCUGGAAGAACAGUAACUCAGAUGUCUUGAGAAAACAGAUGUUUUCGUUUUCAAGGGAGUAGAGGAGGCUCAUCCUUUUCUAGAUGGAAGAAAGCUCUGCAGUUCCAUUGAUAGCACUGAAAAUAGAUUCACCAUUCAGAGAGUUCUUCUGGAUUUCUGCUCCAUCAUGGAUGACUGUGCUCCAACUCUGUACUAUGACAGAAAUUUGUAGCAAAUGGCGCUAUGAACAUUAUCUUGGUUGGAUCAGAUGGCUGCUGAUACGUUAAACCUGAUGCUUGCUACCCUGGUGAGGAUGCUGCUUCAGAAGAACUCAUGAUUGUAAAAAAUAGUUAACUUCUUCAGACUGUGUCAACUAUGGAUUUCACAACCUCUCUGAAGGGGAGGAAGCACCACUAUUAGCACAACACCUAGGUGGUGAGCUUCAUGAAACUUUGUUGCCCAUUAAGGGCCACUCUAAGAAGGCAGUCUGAUCUUUCUGCCUUCCUGUCCAGUAACUUUGCCAGCAAGCCUUAUGAUUUUUAUGCAGUGAGCAACCGGAGCUUGUUUUGGAACCAGUUGUCUUGAGUUGGAUAAUUUUUUGCGGUGUUUAAGAAGAAUUCUAUAUAGUGUUCAGGAUUUGGGUGUUAGAGCAAGGAGGAAUAUGAUUCAGAGAUGAAUCUGUUGCAGAUUUCAAUGUUGCCUGGAGCUGAAAUACUGUGAUCUUGAGGAUACUAGUAUUGUGAUGUGAAAUCCAUUAUAAAAUCUGGCUAGGCUAAUUCUUAAUACUGUUUUUAUUAAAUCAUAACACAGUCUUUUAUAUUAUGCUGCAAAAUAAGGUAUCUGUACUAUUUUAGGGUCAUUGACCUGAAAGACCAACCAACCAAACUGAAAAAACACAAAACAAUUUAGAUGUAAAGGUGGAGAAGUCUGGCAUUUAUGUGAGAAAUUGUUGUACAUAAUUUGGAAAGCCUUUUACACCAUAAAGCUGCUACAAUUGACUUUACCUUGGUGACAGUGGUUAAAUUCCAUAAAACUAGUUUUUGUAAUUGGCUGAAAUAUUGUGACUGUUUCUGCUCAGGCUCCAAACUUACUAAGCUCAGAAGAUGCUCUGAAAUUUGGCUUGAGCACCAUCAGUGUCUUAUGAAGCUAGUGCAUGCUAUGCCAUAUUUUAUUUGUUACUUGUGACGUAGAAUCAUUUCAGUUGGAAGAGACCCUCAAGAGCAUUGAGUUCAACCGUAACCUAACUCUAGCACUAAACCAUAUCCCUAAGAACUUAAUCUAAAUGCCUUUUAAGUACCUUCAGGGAUGGUGACUCCUCCACUUCCAUGGGCAGCCUGUUUCAGUGCCUGACAACUCUUUCUGUGAAGGAUUUUUUCCUGAUAUCCAAUCUUAGAUUGCAUAACCUUCUCCUCAUUUCACACAAAAGUGUGAAAAUCUGUCUUUAGAUGAUCCAUUGAAACUUUGUUGUGGUUUGUGUUUGUAAUAAUUUCCGUACAUGAAAUUCAGUCAAGGCUUUGUGCUUUCCCAAGUUCUGUUAGAGAUGAAGGUGGUGAGUUUAGGCUUUCCAUGGGGACAAAUCCGUCAUGGCCCCAACAGAUGAAAGCUUAUCAAUACAAAGGGAGUAAAUUCUUGGAAGCUUGUGAAAGAGCAAAAAAUUGGUCUUUCAAAGCAUCUAUAUCUGCUGGAAAGCUUCCUUACAGUCUUAAAACUAUUGCUUCUAAACAUAUGUUUUUUACUGUUACAGUUUUUUGAAGAAUGUGUAAAGCAUUUUAAUUAAUCACGUAUGCCUUUUCAAAUAGAUUUACACUGCUCAGUGCAAUGACUAUGUAGCAUGAUUAGGUCUUCUGUUGCAGGUCUCUGACCUGAGUUCAGCCCUGAAAUGCCUGCAACUCAAAACUCAGAAGAGCAAAUACUGUAGGGGCUACUUGGAACUUGAGCAUGCUAAAAACUGCUCUCUUGGUUUUGAAGUUUAGAAGGCCUCUUGUUCAGCAGUUGUAAAUAUUUUUACAUUAUGUAUCUUUCGUACCAUAUACCUUUCAAGGUCAUGAAGAUUGUUGUUUCUGGGAAGAUACAUUGUUGCCCUUUAGUGCAGAAACUGGGGGCAAAGUACAUUUGUGACAAAUUUGAUUGCUAACAAGAUUAAUGGCUGCCACCUCUGUUUGAAGUACUAAUAUAUAGGUCUUCCCUGAUGGAAGAAAUAGAUGGAGAACUCCACCUUUGAAAAGCCUGUAUUAUGUAAUGUGAAGUUUGCAUGGAAGUGAGACCAAAAGAUGUGGCAGUAUUCUGACAUCGGGCCUGUGAGAAACGACAGGAGUUGACAGCGUGAGAACAAGCGUUGGUGGAAAAAUAGAAGGAGCAAGGACUGUAUGCUACUUGAUAUAUCAAAGACAGAUGGAUUGAUAAAGGAUUGAUACAUCAAAGACAGAGGAGUAAGUUGUGAUAGACCAAUAAAUCCUUUUAUGGUAGUAACUUUGGUGGGAACGCAAAAUAUUUCGCUUAUGUAAUGAGUAACUUAGCAAAUCAGCGAAUGCUUGAGCAAGCAUCAUAGCAAGUAUAAAUGCAAGCCUGAGUUUGUAAUAAAUGUCUCUCAUCACACCUUAUCAAGAGUCCAUGCCUCAUUCACCACAAAAUUAUCGAAGUACCUUUUCUCAGAGUCAUACAUAGAGAUAUACUUCAUAGGUUAUUUCUUGCUGCGUCUCCUCUUGAAACACUGAUUAUUCCAUCACACAUACAAACGCAAUACAAAAGUAGAUCUCAUUUUGAGUGAAAGGGAAUUACUUUUCCAUUUUGCAGGAAAAA